rnacentral:rRNA from 1 species
AAUCAACGCUGGCGGCGUGCCUAACACAUGCAAGUCGCACGAGAAAGGGACUUCGGUCCUGAGUACAGUGGCGCACGGGUGAGUAACACGUGAAUAAUCUACCUCCGAGUGGGGAAUAACUGAGAGAAAUCUUAGCUAAUACCGCAUAACACUUACGAGUCAAAGCAGCAAUGCGCUUGGAGAGGAGUUCGCGGCAGAUUAGUUAGUUGGCAGGGUAAGGCCUACCAAGACGAUGAUCUGUAUCCGGCCUGAGAGGGCGCACGGACACACUGGAACUGAAACACGGUCCAGACUCCUACGGGAGGCAGCAGGUGGGGAAUUUUGCGCAAGUGGGGGAAACCCUGACGCAGCAACGCCGCGUGGA